rnacentral:piRNA from 1 species
UCUGAGUACAACGCCUUCUGGAAAUGC